rnacentral:misc_RNA from 1 species
GGUAUUCCAAUGUUGGCCUUCUAGAAUCAUGUGAUUUGAACGUACAGACGACAAGAAGGCCAUGUAAUUUAAUAUGUCAGAUUUCUUUCAGUAUUUGGAGGACCAUAUUUAUAUCCCAAUUCUAGUCGGCUUGUUUGUGUUGUGUCUGAUCGUCCUCCUGAUCUGGUGGUUAUGUAGGAGAAACAGAGAGCGGUACCUUUACCAACCACUGAACACUCAGGAUGUGGCUCUAUAUGACCGAAUGUACAGCAACCAGAAACAGGCUGCAGAGAAAGAACAGGAAGCGACCUGGAUGAAUGCCCAGUACUACCUGAGGUCUCACCCCCAGUUCAACAGACUGAAGCAGCUCCCUCAGCUAGGAAGUAGGUCAGAGAAGCAGUGGUUCAAGGUCAGUGAUCAGAACAGAUCUGAGCACCUGCUGACUACACUCCCCCGCCCUGAUAAGUGUCUGCUGGAUCUGGACACUAGAACCAGGAAGAUGCUAAACAGUCUGUUCCAACUCCUGAAGCAUCCGUACAUGUUCGCCAUGACUGAGUUUGACUAUGUGCUAGAUCAGAACUUUGUGGUCAUCAUUCAGCCCCUCUGUCCAAAGGGGUCGCUCAAAGACGUUAUAUAUCAGACAAACUAUGGUACACCAUGGGUCGAAAAAUAUAGAGUCAAAGGGAGAGGUCUAAGAUUGGAGCAAGUGGCUCGGUACGGAAAACAAAUUCUACAGGGUCUCCUGUUUAUGGAACAGAAAGAGUUUCCUCCCCAUGGACACCUGCACACAGGGAAUAUCAUGGUUAACAAUGGAGUGUGCCAAAUUGCAGGGUAUGAGAACACAUUUAUUGGUUUGAAAUCCAAGCUCUCGGCGAUGGCCAGGAGAAAGUUAAAGGAUCAACCGGAGGCCAUUGACGUCCUCUCGUUUGGUCACAUUUUGUACGAGAUGUGUGUCGGGACAGAACUCGACUCCCCCCACCCUCAGCCUCAUCACCUUAACAUCAUCAACAACCCAGCUGUGGUGUCAGUGCUGAACUUCAUCUUUGGUGAAGACACGGGUGGAAGAUACCCUUCUCUAACAGAGAUAUCUGAGCUGGCUUUCUUUCAAUCAGUUAACUUGGUGGAGAUGAGCAAGUUCAAUCCCUCUAAGAUUUAUCUAUCAAAAGAAAUGAAAAAAGCCAUAAAAACAGUCAACUCUGGAAAACCCGUAAAAAAGAAAACAAAGAGAACAACCACAAAGGCAGGAAACAUGGAGAGCAAGUCCAAUGUUCCAAGUGGUGGAUCCAAGCCCCCCUCUCCUCCUCCCCCUCCUGGUGGCCCCCCUGUGGUGACUGCACCCCCACCACCCCCACCUCCACCUCCUGUCUUCAGUCCAGGGGGACCCCCUCCGGCUCCCCCGGCCCCGCCCCCACCCCCUCCCCCACCCUCUUCGGGAGGGCCCGGGGGUAGGGCUGCCCUGCUGGGUGACAUCCGGUCAGGGAUUUCCCUCAAGAAAGCUGUUACUAAUGAUAGAAGUGCACCCAAAGUGUAAAGUCAGCUGAGGGAAAGGCUAACUAACUGAGACUGGAAAAUAAAUCAAUGGAUGUGUUCAUGGCUACUCUCUUCCAAAAUUUUAUCAUUGAUUGUCUUUAUAAAAAAAAAAAAACUAUUGCAUUGUUCUUUUAUAAUCUGGUAAAAUUCUGACCCAAGUUCUUCAGCUAUAUGUUCUUUGAUUAAUUAAGCAGUGUGUACUGAAAUUUACACAUUGAUCCCCCUGUAGAAAAGUGAAUUUUGUUGUUAUUUACAUGUAAUACAUGCAAGUAUUAUGUUGUUGAUUUUAAAGUUUUAACUUUUGUUUUCCAGUUAACAAACUGUUUUAGCCCCUGCAAUAUGUUGGUUUAUAAUGUUGUGCAAUAUACCUUUGUUAUGUGUUGUGAUUGAUAUCUGUGUAUGGUGAGGUGAAUACAUUCAGAGCUGCAUAUACAUGUACAACAGUUUACUUGGUGCAGAUUUUUUUCUACCAAAGGUUUUAUUUUAGUGUUAUUUACACCAAGAAAUGAUAUACUCAUUGACAGGUCUGCCUGUGUGGGUGUUUUAGAAGAGCUGUUAUCCUUGUUUUUGUGAUUUUGUUUUAGUGUAUGAAUCUGUGUCUGAUGGUUAAUGUAAUCCUUAUUGAUUGACGGUGUUGUUUUAGGUUGUAUUUUGUUAAACCAUCAAGUGCCAAUACUGUGAUGCUUUAUAAUGAUAAUGAAUGAACUUUUACAUAUCAAUGACUGUUUAUACCAAAUCAAAUGAUAUAAAUCAAAAUAAAAGGCAUGUACAAAUGAACAC